GUGCUAGACGGGGAGGUAGCGGUGCCCUGUAACCUGCAAUCCGCUAUAGCAGGGUUGAAUUCCUCAUGGAGGCUUGUUGCUUGUAGGGCUGGCCUAGAUAAGUGGUGAUGAGAAUUGGGUCCUACGCAAUGAAAACUCAUGAACUCCGUCAGAUCCGGAAGGAAGCAGCGGUAAG
rnacentral:SRP_RNA from 21 species